GGCAAACACAGUGCUGGAGACCCCACAAUGCCCUGGGCCUAUAGCAGUCAAUUCCCAAGAUGCCCCGCGUGAACACAAUAGGCACCCGUUCCAAUGCUCGAGCAAAGAGACCAGGGCAAAACCUUCCACUACGGGACAAUAACGGCCAGUUCCCACAAUUCGUUGUGGCAGUUCUUCCCAGGAUGCCUUAGGCCUAUAGCGACCACCUUCCCAGACUCCCCGUGUGGAAGCGCUCCAAGCCUCCAGGACGGUCAGCGGCAGGUGUGGGAUAAAAGGAACCGGUCUCGACAAGGAUCUGGGACACUCUUUCCCAGGAUGCACCAGGCCUACGACUAGCGGACCGACUCCCACAGCGCUUCAAGGCGGAGCGCUCGGUUCUCCCAGGAUGCCCCAGGGCGGCACAAACGCGUAGGGGGAGAAAAAGAAGCCCUCGGGUCACCACGGCCCCAGACCGCCGGCUCCCCGGUGACGGGAGUCGUCGCUCCCAUCAUGCAGCGGGGCCGUAGCGCCCGCUUCCCGGCAUGCCUCGCGCACCCCUGCCCGGGACACUCACCGGCGCCGGCGGCCCCCGCUCCGGCUCUGCGGCGGCGGCUGCACGCCCAGCCUCUGCGCCUGCGUCGCAAGUAGGAUGAACAAUCAUGGUGAAAGAGAAGCCCAGCCGGCAGCCAGCACCAAUCGCCAGCUGUGUGAGUGUGGCCAUCCUGGAUCAUCCAGCCCCAGCUGCCCCACCAGCUGACAGCAGCCACACAAGUGACCCCAGUUGAGACCAAUAAAAGAUCUGCCCAUCUGAUACAGCCCAAACUGCUGAACCCCAGAAUCAUGAACAAAUAAGUAAAAGAAAAGAACACUGGUUGUAUUUUAUGGUUGCACUAUGUCCAGCAGAAAAAGGCAUUCCUCAGUCUCCUUGCAGCAAGGUAAAGCCAUCUGAUAAAAUUUUGUCCAGUUGGAUAUAAGCCAAAAUGUUGCGUGACAAUUUUGGGAGGACUUCCUGAAACAGGUGGACAAACCCUUUUUCUACUGAGUCACCUUUGUGCCACCUGGAACUAACAGUGUGACGCGUGGAAUUUAGGCAGCCAUAUUGAACCAUGAGGACAAGAGCAGUGGGGAUGGCGGAACCAAGAGCUGGAAGGUGCCUGAGUCUCUGGUGAAGAUGUGGAGCUGCUGUAACAGCCCUCAACUCCUAGUUCUGGACUUCUUUUAUGUUUUAGUGUAACGCUUUGGGUAUUUUUAUUUUUUUAAUUUAUUUUAGAGAUGAGGUCUCACUAUGUUGCCUAGGCUGGACUCAAACUCUUAUGCUCAAGCAGUCCUCCUGCCUCAGCUUCAUGAGUAGCUGAAACUAUAGCACUUUGGGUAUUUCAGCCACUGUUUGAGGUUUUUCUAGCACCUCCUGGAAUAUCAAGCUUAACAUGUCCAAUCCUUGCCCCAGAUAUUUUCCUCCCCAAAUUUUCUCAAUCUCAAUAAAUGUCACCACCAUCCACCUGGUUGCUCAGGUCAAAAACCUAGAAAUCAUUCAAGUUCUCUCCCUUUCCCUCAUCCCCAAUAUCCAUUCCAUCAGCAACAUCUGUCCAUUCUACCUCCAAGACAUAUCCCAGAUCUCAUCACCUUUGUCUGCCUCUCCUACCCUCACUCUCAUCCAGCAUCAUCCCUCACCUGGACUCUGCAAAAGCCUACUCGUGGGUCUGUCUGCAUCCCUGUCUGCCUCCUCCAGGGCCAUUCUCCACCCAGUGGCCGGAUCGAUUUUUCAAAGAGGUAAAUCAGAUCAAUUCACCUUUCUGCUUAAAACCCUCCGAGGGCUGCCCGUAACAUGUAGAAUAAAAUAGAGACCCCUUCCCGGGGACUUCAAGGUGCUAUAUGGCCUGGCCCCUUGCUGACCUUACUUCACUCUGGGCUCGCUAGCCUUGCUGUCCCUCAAACAUGCUGAGCUCGCUCCCACCACAGGGCCUUUUCCCUUUUCUUCCUUCUGCCUGGAAUGUUCUUCUCCCCACCUCCCAAGCCCCAUCUUCCCAGGGCUGACUCCUGUUCCCAUUUGGGUCUCAAAUCAUAUCAGUACCUUCUCAGAGAGGCCUUCCCUCACUGCUCAUCCCUUCACCUUUAGAACACUUUCUUUUCUUUUAAGAGACAAAGUCAGCCCAGUGCGGUGGCUCACGCCUGUAAUACCAGCACU
rnacentral:lncRNA from 1 species